rnacentral:rRNA from 1 species
GUAGGAGGCAAGCGUUAUCCGGAUUCACUGGGCGUAAAGCGCGUGCAGGCGGUUCGGUAAGUUGGGCGUGAAAUCUCCUGGCUUAACUAGGAGAGGUCGUUCAAUACUACCGGACUUGAGAGUGAUAGAGGAAGAUGGAAUUCCCGGUGUAGUGGUGAAAUGCGUAGAUAUCGGGAGGAACACCAGUGGCGAAAGCGAUCUUCUGGAUCAUUUCUGACGCUCAGACGCGAAAGCUAGGGUAGUAAACGGGAUUAGAGACCCCGGUAAUCCUAGCCGUAAACGAUGUAAACUUGGCGUCGGUGGCUUAAACUCCAUCGGUGCCGCAGCUAACGCGAUAAGUUUACCGCCUGGGGACUACGAUCGCAAGAUUA